rnacentral:rRNA from 1 species
UACGUAGGGGGCAAGCGUUGUCCGGAUUUAUUGGGCGUAAAGAGCGUGUAGGCGGCCAGGGAGGUCCGUUGUGAAAACUCGAGGCUCAACCUCGAGACGCCGAUGGAAACCCCCUGGCUAGAGUCCGGAAGAGGAGAAUGGAAUUCCUGGUGUAGCGGUGAAAUGCGCAGAUAUCAGGAAGAACACCGGUGGCGAAGGCGGUCUGCUGGGCAGUAGCUGACACUGAGGCGCGGACAGCGUGGGGAGCCGAACAGG